CCUACGGGUGGCAGCAGUGAGGAAUAUUGGUCAAUGGACGAGAGUCUGAACCAGCCAAGUAGCGUGAAGGAUGACUGCCCUAUGGGUUGUAAACUUCUUUUAUAUGGGAAUAAAACGUUCCACGUGUGGGAUUUUGUAUGUACCCUCUGAAUAAGGAUCGGCUAACUCCGUGCCAGCAGCCGCGGUAAUACGGAGGAUCCGAGCGUUAUCCGGAUUUAUUGGGUUUAAAGGGAGCGUAGGUGGAUUGUUAAGUCAGUUGUGAAAGUUUGCGGCUCAACCGUAAAAUUGCAGUUGAAACUGGCAGUCUUGAGUACAGUAGAGGUGGGCGGAAUUCGUGGUGUAGCGGUGAAAUGCUUAGAUAUCACGAAGAACUCCGAUUGCGAAGGCAGUUCACUGGACUGCAACUGACACUGAGGCUCGAAAGUGUGGGUAUCAAACAGGAUUAGAUACCCUAGUAGUC
rnacentral:rRNA from 1 species